UACGAAGGGGGCUAGCGUUGUUCGGAAUCACUGGGCGUAAAGCGCUCGUAGGCGGAUCUUUAAGUCAGAGGUGAAAUCCCAAGGCUCAACCUUGGAACUGCCUUUGAUACUGGGGAUCUCGAGUCCGGGAGAGGCGAGUGGAACUGCGAGUGUAGAGGUGAAAUUCGUAGAUAUUCGCAAGAACACCAGUGGCGAAGGCGGCUCACUGGCCCGGUACUGACGCUGAGGAGCGAAAGCGUGGGGAGCAAACAGG
rnacentral:rRNA from 1 species